UGAGGAAUAUUGGUCAAUGGUCUGACGACUGAACCAGCCAUGCCGCGUGAAGGUGACGGCCCUAUGGGUCUUAAACUUCUUUUGCAAGGGAGCAAUAAGCCUCACGUGUGGGGCGAUGAGAGUACCUUACGAAUAAGCAUCGGCUAACUCCGUGCCAGCAGCCGCGGUAAUACGGGGGAUGCAAGCGUUAUCCGGAUUUAUUGGGUUUAAAGGGUGCGUAGGCUGUCUGGUAAGUCAGCGGUGAAAUUUAGGGGCUCAACCUCUACCGUGCCGUUGAUACUGCCAGGCUAGAAUGCGGAUGCCGUGGGAGGAAUGUGUGGUGUAGCGGUGAAAUGCAUAGAUAUCACACAGAACACCGAUUGCGAAGGCAUCUCACGAAUCCGCAAUUGACGCUGAUGCACGAAAGCGUGGGGAUCAAACAGG
rnacentral:rRNA from 2 species